GGAUCCAGACUUUGAUCAUGGCUCAGGACGAACGCUGGCGGCGUGCUUAACACAUGCAAGUCGAACGAGAAUCUGUGGAUCGAGGAUUCGUCCAAGUGAAGCAGAGGACAGUGGCGGACGGGUGAGUAACGCGUGAGGAACCUGCCUUUCAGAGGGGGACAACAGUUGGAAACGACUGCUAAUACCGCAUGAUACAUUUGGGUGGCAUCAUCUGAAUGUCAAAGAUUUAUCGCUGAAAGAUGGCCUCGCGUCUGAUUAGCUGGUUGGUGAGGUAACGGCCCACCAAGGCGACGAUCAGUAGCCGGACUGAGAGGUUGACCGGCCACAUUGGGACUGAGAUACGGCCCAGACUCCUACGGGAGGCAGCAGUGGGGAAUAUUGGGCAAUGGGCGCAAGCCUGACCCAGCAACGCCGCGUGAAGGAAGAAGGCUUUCGGGUUGUAAACUUCUUUUAAGAGGGAAGAGCAGAAGACUGUACCUCUAGAAUAAGCCACGGCUAACUACGUGCCAGCAGCCGCGGUAAUACGUAGGUGGCAAGCGUUGUCCGGAUUUACUGGGUGUAAAGGGCGUGCAGCCGGGAAUGCAAGUCAGAUGUGAAAUCCAUGGGCUUAACCCAUGAACUGCAUUUGAAACUGUAUUUCUUGAGUACUGGAGAGGCAAUCGGAAUUC
rnacentral:rRNA from 1 species